GACGAACGCUGGCGGCGUGCUUAACACAUGCAAGUCGAACGGAAAGGCCCUGCUUUUGUGGGGUGCUCGAGUGGCGAACGGGUGAGUAACACGUGAGUAACCUGCCCUUGACUUUGGGAUAACUUCAGGAAACUGGGUCUAAUACCGGAUAGGAGCUCCUGCUGCAUGGUGGGGGUUGGAAAGUUUCGGCGGUUGGGGAUGGACUCGCGGCUUAUCAGCUUGUUGGUGGGGUAGUGGCUUACCAAGGCUUUGACGGGUAGCCGGCCUGAGAGGGUGACCGGCCACAUUGGGACUGAGAUACGGCCCAGACUCCUGCGGGAGGCAGCAGUGGGGAAUAUUGCACAAUGGGCGGAAGCCUGAUGCAGCAACGCCGCGUGCGGGAUGACGGCCUUCGGGUUGUAAACCGCUUUCGCCUGUGACGAAGCGUGAGUGACGGUAAUGGGUAAAGAAGCACCGGCUAACUACGUG
rnacentral:rRNA from 1 species